GAUGAACGCUGGCGGCGUGCCUAAUACAUGCAAGUCGAGCGAAUGGAUUAAGAGCUUGCUCUUAUGAAGUUAGCGGCGGACGGGUGAGUAACACGUGGGUAACCUGCCCAUAAGACCGGGAUAACUCCGGGAAACCGGGGCUAAUACCGGAUAACAUUUUGAACCGCAUGGUUCGAAAUUGAAAGGCGGCUUCGGCUGUCACUUAUGGAUGGACCCGCGUCGCAUUAGCUAGUUGGUGAGGUAACGGCUCACCAAGGCAACGAUGCGUAGCCGACCUGAGAGGGUGAUCGGCCAGACUGGGACUGAGACACGGCCCAGACUCCUACGGGAGGCAGCAGUAGGGAAUCUUCCGCAAUGGACGAAAGUCUGACGGAGCAACGCCGCGUGAGUGAUGAAGGCUUUCGGGUUGUAAACCUCUGUUGUUAGGGAAGAACAAGUGCUAGUUGAAUAAGCUGGCACCUUGACGGUACCUAACCAGAAAGCCACGGCUAACUACGUGCCAGCCGCCGCGGUAA
rnacentral:rRNA from 1 species